rnacentral:rRNA from 1 species
AGCGAACGCUGGCGGCAGGCCUAACACAUGCAAGUCGAACGAACUCUUCGGAGUUAGUGGCGGACGGGUGAGUAACACGUGGGAACGUGCCUCUAGGUUCGGAAUGACUCAGGGAAACUUGUGCUAAUACCGAAUGUGCCCUUCGGGGGAAAGAUUUAUCGCCUUUAGAGCGGCCCGCGUCUGAUUAGCUAGUUGGUGAGGUAAAGGCUAACAAAGGCGACGAUCAAUAGCUGGUCUGAGAGGAUGAUCAGCCACAUUGGGACUGAGACACGGCCCAAACUCCUACGGGAGGCAGCAGUGGGGCAUCUUGCGCAAUGGGCUAAAGCCUGACGCAGCCAUGCCGCGUGAAUGAUGAAGGUCUUAGGAUUGUAAAAUUCUUUCACCGGGGACGAUAAUGACGGUACCCGGAGAAGAAGCCCCGGCUAACUUCGUGCCAGCCGCCGCCGUAA